CCAAUGGCAAUAGAGGAAAAAACAGAGAGGGGAGGGGGUGCCAGGCUCUUUUUAACAAUCAGAUGUUGUGGGGACUGAUAGAGAGGGAAGUCACUCAUUGCUCUGAGGAUGGCACCAAGCCUUUCAAGAGGGAUCUGCUCCCACGACUGAAAUAUCUCCCAGCAGACCCCAACUCCAAAACUGGGGAUCACAUUUCAAUAUGAGAUUUGGAGGGACUAACAUAGAGACUAUAUCAGCCCCCAUUUAUCUGUAAUCCUUCUCUUUCUUUAAUAGAAGUUGGAGAGCUAAAAUUGUAGCCAUCUCAACAUCCUUUGCAACUAGGGAGAGUAAGACAGCACCAUUUCUACCCCAUGCGAUAUAUGUGCAGAUCUGCUUGGAGAGGGUCUCUUUUUUGAAUAAAAAGACAAAGCUACAAAAGAAGAAAAUGGCUCUGUUCUUUCUGCCUAGAUGUAGACAAGACCCCAGGAGCUGCAGCAGUCAUCUGCUCACACUGAAGUUCGUAGAACUAAAAGACGGAAGGAGCCUGGGAUGCUGAUGAAAUUGUGAAGCUACUGACACAAGCCCUGGACUGCCUAUCUCUGGACUCUACUGGAUGGGUCCACAUGGCAAGGAACCAAGGGUAGCCUCUGGCCAGCAACCAGAGAAGAUAAAGAUCUCCAACAACGUCUGCGUUUGGAAGAGGAUUGUUCUUCCGUAGAGUUUUCUGAUGAGGCCCCAGCCUUGGCAACAUCUUGACUGUCUCCUUGUAAAGGGACCUUGAGACAGAGGACUCAGCUCAGCCGUGCCAGACUCCUGACUCACAGAAACAGUGAGAUUAUAAAAACAAACUGUUUUAAGCCACUAAGUUUUGAGUAAUUUGUCACACAGUAGAUAAUAAACUUCCAUAGAAUCUUGA